GGUGAGAUGGCCGAGUUGGUUAUGGCGCCAGGUUAAGGUCUCAAUCUUAGCCACUGAUUCCUGGUGGAGCAAUCCGCGUGGGUUCAAGUCCCACUCUCAUCA
rnacentral:tRNA from 1 species